AUUGAACGCCGGCGGCGUGCCUAACACAUGCAAGUCGAGCGAGAAGUUUGAAAAAUGAGUUUUCGGACAAGUGAUUCAAACGGAAAGCGGCGGACGGGUGAGUAACGCGUAGGCAACCUGCCCCGCGCAGAGGGACAGCCUCGGGAAACCGGGAUUAAGACCUCAUGAUAUCGGGUUUUCACAUGGUAAUCCGGUCAAAGAUUUAUCGGCAUGGGAUGGGCCUGCGUCUGAUUAGCUGGUUGGUGGGGUAACGGCCUACCAACGCGACGAUCAGUAGCAGAACUGAGAGGAUCAUCUGCCACAUUGGAACUGAGACACGGUCCAAACUCCUACGGGAGGCAGCAGUGAGGAAUAUUGCACAAUGGGCGAAAGCCUGAUGCAGCAACGCCGCGUGAGCGAAGAAGGCCUUUGGGUCGUAAAGCUCUGUCCUUGGGGAAGAAACAAAUGACGGUACCCUUGGAGGAAGCCCCGGCUAACUACGUGCCAGCCGCCGCGGUAA
rnacentral:rRNA from 1 species